UACGGGGGGGGCAAGCGUUGUUCGGAAUUACUGGGCGUAAAGGGCGCGUAGGCGGCCUUCUAAGUCGAACGUGAAAUCCCCGGGCUCAACCCGGGAACUGCGUCCGAGACUGAAAGGCUUGAAUCCGGGAGAGGGAUGUGGAAUUCCAGGUGUAGCGGUGAAAUGCGUAGAUAUCUGGAGGAACACCGGUGGCGAAGGCGGCAUCCUGGACCAAUAUUGACGCUGAGGAGCGAAAGCCAGGGGAGCAAACGGG
rnacentral:rRNA from 1 species